GUUUAUUAAUUUACCAUGAUAUUUGGAGAGAAGAUUUAAUUUACCAAAUAAAACAAGUUUGAGAUCUACUUAGGGGAUUUCAAUUUUGAAUUCCUACAGGUGAUAAUAAUAUGACUUGAGAUAAUAGUAUGCCUUGAGAUUCACCCAUCUGCUUUAAAUUUAUUGAUUUUUCUCUUACAGUGGAAUGUACCCGUAGGACUUGGGAUGUGAAGUAAUAUUCAAACGUGGUCAAAUUCUUCCACAUAUAAGAAAGAAUAGGUGUCUCUAUGUUGCCCAGGCUUGAGUGCAGUGGUGUGAUCGCAGCUCACUACAGCCUUGACCUCCCCAGGAUCAGUUCUAGGGAUAAAGACUUCAGAGGAAACUUACGGAUUCUCUCCCUCUUGGCUACAAUGAUGACUCCCUAUAGUUCACUGCCUGGUCCUCAUGCUUCGCCUCUCAGUUUCGUUUUCUUCAUCUCUGAGACCGCUCAGCAGAGGGGUGGAUAAUUUAACUGAUGAUCGUUAGCCAUUUCCUUUCUCGGCCAGUCAACUGCAUUCCUCUCUAUUUUAGGAGCAAGUUACAGCUUAAAGAAAACAACAUCACCUGAAACACCUAAAAGAAAUGUAUUUUGUACAAAAAGUGCAUUUCCUUAUACUCUGAGGCUUUCUUCUCGCAAAGGCUGUUUAUCUAUCACAGCUCAGAGGGUUGUGCGGUUGAAUUUCCUCAUGUGACAGCUGGGUAUUCCAAUAUACAGAUGUCCUGGGAGCCAGCGCAGUGACAGAAUGAGGGGAGCUGGUCCAGGGGAUGUGUAGGGAUCACCGUAAGUACCCUUCCCAGGUGCUUGGGUGGCUUGGGUGCUGUGUAGUCUAUCACUCUCUCAGCAGAGCUGCUUCCAACUCGGGAAUAUUGUCAACGAUUCCGAACUGCACAUUUUGAGGUGGUGAAAUAUUACAGUAAACAUGUGAUUUUUAUUUUUCUAAUAUUCCUUGCUUCCCUGCUGCUGUCUGUGUCUUCUCUUCCUCACUCAGCCACAUCGGUUCCUGUUGCUCAUUUGGCAUUCCUGGCUUCAUAAAUAUAAAUUUUAUGGUUUACUUCCUUGACUCUAUCUUAAAUGCUUCCCACUCUGUCAGUUUCCCAUGCAUUUUUGAGCUACAGCCAGUCUUCUUUAACAAGCUGUACGUUCCUUCACAGUCUGUUAAAAACCGCUAUUUCUUUACUGCUGUCCUAUAGACUCUUAUCAAUAUUUCAACUCUUGUGAUCACCAAGUUGCCCAAGAAUAGCAUCUGCAGUUAAAUUAACAGGGAUAAAAUUACAAGAUCUAUCAAUCUUUAUGCUUCACGAUGUAAGGAGGUCAUUAACUGAGGUCAGGAGAAAGUUUUCCCUGACAGCGAGCUCCUUCAGAAUUAGUGCAUUAUGGAACAUUUACAAAUUAGUCUCAUUAUAUUUAGGGGCAUCUGGUAUAAACCCCUUGUCACAAUCAUGAUUCUGGGAAGGCAAUUAAUAGGUUCUUGUGAAUUCUCAGUAACCUCCAGCCUAAUUUAAAAAAAGAAAUUUG
rnacentral:lncRNA from 1 species